UGCGUCUUGCACCCUUCCUCCUCGAACCUACCCCAAUAAGAAGCUCCCCAGGCCAUGGUCUAAGAAGGCUGAGAGCACAUGGCUGCCUGUGCCUUCUCACCUCUGCUUCCAGUGGUCCAUUCUAUUAGCCUGUCCUCCCUGGGGACAAGGACAGAGGACGAAGUGCUGGCAGAAAGCCAGAGGCCUUUUGGUCCCCAUGUGAAAGGACCCUCCUCCUGGCCCUGUUACUUUUUGUGUUUUCUAGGCUUUUGCCUUGAAAGGAUUAUAGGUCAGCCAGCAACCUGGUGUGUCCAGACAGGAGAUACCCAGAUUAUAAAGAAAGAAUAUUCCCCGUCAGACUUAAGAAGCUGGAUGGCUCUUUUGAGGUUGCCCAGGCAUUUGGCUGGAGGAGGAGCUGUCAUUGAGGGCCCCUGUGUGCUGGUUGACUGCAAGGUCUCUUGGGCUCUGUCCUUUGUGUCCUGCCUCUGGCCCUCAUCUGUCCUCACUUCACUGGAAGUAGCAGUGCAGAGUUCUGUGGGCCAAAGACUGUAUUUCACACAAACAUGGUGCUCCAAGGAAAUGCCUCCCUCUACC